rnacentral:rRNA from 1 species
GAUGAACGCUGGCGGCGUGCCUAAUACAUGCAAGUCGAGCGAACAGACGAGGAGCUUGCUCCUCUGAUGUUAGCGGCGGACGGGUGAGUAACACGUGGAUAACCUACCUAUAAGACUGGGAUAACUUCGGGAAACCGGAGCUAAUACCGGAUAACAUGUUGAACCGCAUGGUUCAACAGUGAAAGACGGUCUUGCUGUCACUUAUAGAUGGAUCCGCGCCGCAUUAGCUAGUUGGUAAAGUAACGGCUUACCAAGGCAACGAUGCGUAGCCGACCUGAGAGGGUGAUCGGCCACACUGGAACUGAGACACGGUCCAGACUCCUACGGGAGGCAGCAGUAGGGAAUCUUCCGCAAUGGGCGAAAGCCUGACGGAGCAACGCCGCGUGAGUGAAGAAGGUCUUCGGAUCGUAAAACUCUGUUAUUAGGGAAGAACAAAUGUGUAAGUAACUAUGCACGUCUUGACGGUACCUAAUCAGAAAGCCACGGCUAACUACGUG